GUAGCAGCACUGGAAGUUGGGGUGUACCACUUUAGAUAUAAACUGUUCAUAUGGUCCCAUUGCGAACGUGGUCAGGAGCGCAGUGAGACAGUAAGUUCUCCAGAAGAGACCCAGAGAGAUACCCCACAACACUGUAGUGGAGUACAGUCCUGCCGGACCUGCCAUAGCUGGACUAAGGCAUUGGACCUAGUAACCGCACUGGUACAGCUGGGAGGAUAGUGAGAGAGAUUAGGCUACUGCCGUCUCCAUCCUCUCUGGGACCUGCCUGCCUUAAUGAUGCUGGUGCUGUGGACAGCUGUUCUGUUGGGUUUGAGCAGGUGCUGUCAAGCAGCAGCGUCUCCUGGUGGUGACCCCUGGGCCCAGUGUCCGUCCAGACAGUGUGAGGCCAAGUUUAGAGAUGGGUCAUGUGAUAAAGAGUGCACCGAGCCCGAGUGUCUGAGAGACGGGUUCGACUGUCUGAGGGACAAAGGACGCUGCAAGUCACAUCCACUACUGCCGAGACCACUAUUCCAACUCUUACUGUGACCAGGGCUGUGAAAGUGCCGCCUGUGGCUGGGAUGGGAGUGACUGUCACAGGCACCACAGCCCUCUGUGGGCUAAGGGUACCCUGCUCCUGCACACCCACGUCCCCCUGCAACACGGCACAUUUUCCAACAGUUCCCUUCUCUGGGCCCUCAGCACCCUCCUGCAGACGCCCCUCAAACUGCGCGGCGCGGUGCCCCUUGACCCCAGCAAGGACCUCUUCACCUUUAAUCCCCAGCAGCUUGAAAACCUGCUGGCUCAAGCUUCUUCGGAUGACUCAAAUGGUUCUCUCCUAUUCCUGCAAGUGGAUAACAGGCCGUGCUCCCGUCUUCCUUCUACCUGUUUCCCGUACGCCAUCGAAGCAGCUAACUUCCUGCGGGCUGCUACAUCAUCGACUCGUGUGUCGGUCCCCUCUCACCCAGAAUUAAAGGCCAUUAUUAGUGUAAGAGGGGUUGGGGAGGAAAUAGGAGGGAGAGAGGAGGACCCAGUUGAGGAAAAGGAGGACACUAAUGAUGGAGCAACACCUCCAUGGAUAUGGGCUGUGAUCGGCGUGGCAACGGGCCUGGUACUGGCUUUGGUCUUGAUGGUUGUCUUGGUGAUCAGAAGGGUGAGACGACGACGAGAGGAGAGGGAGGGAGGAGGAGAGAGGGUUAGGCACAGAUCCACUGUCACUGAGAAUGACAACGGAGCCAAUGUGGCGAAGGCAUGGGCACAGCAUACACCCCACCGAGAGCAGAGGGGCAGGACAGGGAGAGAGAAAGGCAGGAAUGGGAUAAAGAAGAAGAAAGCGAAGGAGGCUGAGAAGAAAAGACGCAGAGAGCCACUGGGGGAGGAUGCCCUUCGACUGCGGCCCCUGAAAAAGGACCUGGAUAUUGGAAGUGACACUGACUUUACCCAGAGUUCUAUGGAGGACGUCAACAGGUCCAUCUGUGACCACCGAACGCAAGAGCAGAAGCACUACCGCAGCCCCCCGAGCCACCCACAAUCACCCAUACAACCUCCACUUUUAGCCCCCCCAAGAGGAUGGGAGAGAAAUGCUGUCCCGUCGACACAUCACAGAACACCCAAUCAAUCUGCUUCGGUUCAAUGGUGUGGUCCAGAUGGGUCAGUGGUCCUGAUUCGUGCGGUCCGGAGUGGGCUUGACCGUGUGGUUCUGGAGCUGCUACGAGCUGGGGUGCCGGUUAACAACACAGACCACACUGCACCCCUGCUGCCCCCCUCUCAAACUGAUACAGAAGUUAAUGUGCCCUAGUGCCCAGGCAGUGUGGAUGUACCAUAUUAACCUUCAUUGCUCUCUCUCUCUCUCACACACACACACACUAUCUCUCGCUCUCUCCCUAUCGGGCUGAUUCCCUAGUCCCUCACCAUCAUUUUCAUUCUCAUUUCCUCCCUUUCAAAAUCUCCCCCUUCCCCAUCUUUCACCAUUUGGGCUUGACUCUGUUGUAUAAUGUUUGUUCACUGGCUGACUUACUCCCUCUCUUUCUGUACUGAACUCCCACCUUCCUUCCCUUAACUUCCUCCACUUGAAAUGCACUCUCUCUCCCAGGGAGAUCAGCCCUCCACUGGGCAUGCUCAGUUAACCACCUCUCCUUGACAAGAACCCUCACUCGCUACGGUGCUGCGGUGGACCUACAGGACAACAAGGGUGAGACUGCUCUGUUCCUCUCCGCCCUCCACGGUUGCUACGACACCGCCCGGUUCCUGCUCCUGAACGGGGCAAAUCAGGAUCUGUCUGAUCGCAGAGGACGCCGGGCACUAGAUGUUGCCCGAGAGGGCAUGCAUCAUCAAGUCCUGGAGCUCCUAUUGGCUCACAGGGUUCAGAGAGGGCCUAUUCCUAUGGAGCAAGCCAAUGAUAUGCUGUGGGAUGAGCGUGCCUUUCUGUAUAGCCAAUGGUUGAAUUCCCCUGGGCUCCCUGGGAGGAGUGCCUCCUUCUCUGGUGUCAUAGGGCAUCGGGAUAUGUCUUCGCCUCCACCAAGUGAUUUAUCAAUGGGCAGAGUGCAGUGCCCUUCCCCUCAGAACUGGCGGCCACAGCUCAACCAAUCAGCAACCGCAUUGGUUACCCCAAGAAUCAUGGGGCGUCCACCAAGACCAAUCAGCACUCUACAGGAGGUUACCUCAGAGGACGAAGAUCGUGAAAGGCCCCAGGAAGUCCCGAGAGCAGCGACACCGCACUUCCUGUUACCGCAGCCUGCUCCUCGACAGCGGUCCUUCUCCUGUACCCAGAAUGCACUGCAGCGUCGCUCCAGUUCACAGCAGCCCGAACCGACUUAUGUUGCCUUAUCAGAGAAAAUAGCCACUGAGCCCAUAGAAAGAGUGAUCGUAGUCCCUCCUACAGAUGCUCCCACCCAAUCAGAUCGCAGAUCAAUAGUCGAUAGUAGCGACAACCCCAGGAGGGCAGCACCAGAGAUUGAGGCAGCAAGUUUUAAAAAGGCAGAACAGAAAGCCCGAAGUGAGAAGCUAAAUAACCACAUGCCUGACUCUAACCAAACAGCUUUGUAAGGGGGCUCUGCUGUGAGAUAUCGUGCUGAAAUGACCCCAAAUACCAUCAUGUCAAUCAUGUGCUGUUUACAUUUUCUGUAAAAGGCCCCUUGCUCCUAAAUAACAGUAGACUGACAGAAGGGAUAUAAACUCAGUCAAUAAAUGAGUAACUUCAAUUACUCUAAAUAUCUAAAUCAAUAAACAAUUAAUGUGCAAUUUUUUCUUCUUCUGCCAUAUUAGGAGGUGACCUGUCUCUCUUAUGCUAAUAUCAACCAAUCAAGACAAACCAACUGACUGUGAAUAGAGAGUCUUUAUUGUAAAAGAGGUAGAGAGAAUACAGGUGUUUUUCACUCACUGUACAGAAUGACAGCACUGUUGAUAUACUCAUUCAAACUGUUAACAUAACCAGCACACAUACUUCAUUCAUGACAUAGACACACACAGACAAACAAGCCCAGUAGAAAAGAGAAAACAAACACACAAAAUCUUUGGAUUUUCUCUAUUGCCCCCACAUCCUCUAAAUGCAACUAUAUCUGACCUUUAAACUAAAAUCCUAAAAUAUUUGUAACAGCAUUAAUAAUAUAGCCUAAUAAAACAAUGGUAAUGCAAUUUUCCAAGCCUCCCUGCCCACAUACCACAGUAACAUAUAAAGUAGUGGAAAACAAAACCCAUGAUCCCAAUACAAAACAUCACACACACACACACACACACACACACACACACACACACACACACACACACACACACACACAUAAUGAACAUGGACAUAAUAUCAUUGGACAGUAAGAAACAGAAAAGACAUACAAAAACUGCAGCCAAGUAAGAGUGAUAUCAUUCUUUCAGUCUUUUUCCGUUUUCUUUCCAUCUAUGUCAUCGACACAAAGUGGACGGGGCCAUCAGUCAGACUCCCCUGAGUGGUCGUUUCCUGGGGAAGUGGCAGAGGGGGGUGUGUUUUGCCCUUGCCAGUUCCCAUUAGUCUGCCAAAGAGAAAAAGACAUGUGGUGACUUGUAGUGACAUUAACCUACAUUAACCCCUCUCCACUCCAAUACAUCUCCUCCACAAGGUUGUUGUUGUGAAUGAGAAUGUGCUCUCAAAUAGUUACGACCUAAAAUAAAGAUGAUAUGUAACAUGA